GCAUUGGUGGUUCAGUGGUAGAAUUCUCGCCUGCCACGCGGGUGGCCCGGGUUCGAUGCAGCAUACACUUUAGCACACUUAGUGGUAGAAUUCUCUUCUGUAACGAGGGAGGGCCGGCCA